rnacentral:rRNA from 1 species
CACGUAGGGGGCGAGCGUUGUCCGGAUUCAUUGGGCGUAAAACGCGCGCAGGCGGCUUGGAAAGUCGGGUGUGAAAACUCGGGGCUCAACCCCGGGCGUGCAUCCGAUACUGCCAGGCUUGAGGCAGGUAGGGGAGAUCGGAAUUCCUGGUGUAGUGGUGAAAUGCGCAGAUAUCAGGAGGAACACCAAUUGCGAAGGCAGCUCGCUGGGACGCUACUGACGCUGAGACGCGAAAGCGUGGGGAGCAAACAGG